rnacentral:rRNA from 1 species
GGGGGGACGUUAUCGGAAUACUGGGGCGUAAGCGCACGCAGGCGGUCUGUCAAGUCGGAUGUGAAAUCCCCGGGCUCAACCUGGGAACUGCAUUCGAAACUGGCAGGCUAGAGUCUUGUAGAGGGGGGUAGAAUUCCAGGUGUAGCGGUGAAAUGCGUAGAGAUCUGGAGGAAUACCGGUGGCGAAGGCGGCCCCCUGGACAAAGACUGACGCUCAGGUGCGAAAGCGUGGGGAGCAAACAGGAUUAGAUACCCUGGUAGUCCACGCCGUAAACGAUGUCGAUUUGGAGGUUGUGCCCUUGAGGCGUGGCUUCCGGAGCUAACGCGUUAAAUCGACCGCCUGGGGAGUACGGCCGCAAGGUUAAAACUCAAAUGAAUUGACGGGGGCCCGCACAAGCGGUGGAGCAUGUGGUUUAAUUCGAUGCAACGCGAAGAACCUUACCUGGUCUUGACAUCCACAGAACUUUCCAGAGAUGGAUUGGUGCCUUCGGGAACUGUGAGACAGGUGCUGCAUGGCUGUCGUCAGCUCGUGUUGUGAAAUGUUGGGUUAAGUCCCGCAACGAGCGCAACCCUUAUCCUUUGUUGCCAGCGGUCCGGCCGGGAACUCAAAGGAGACUGCCAGUGAUAAACUGGAGGAAGGUGGGGAUGACGUCAAGUCAUCAUGGCCCUUACGACCAGGGCUACACACGUGCUACAAUGGCAUAUACAAAGAGAAGCGACCUCGCGAGAGCAAGCGGACCUCAUAAAGUAUGUCGUAGUCCGGAUUGGAGUCUGCAACUCGACUCCAUGAAGUCGGAAUCGCUAGUAAUCGUAGAUCAGAAUGCUACGGUGAAUACGUUCCCGGGCCUUGUACACACCGCCCGUCACACCAUGGGGAGUGGGUUGCAAAAGAAGUAGGUAGCUUAACCUUCGGGAGGGCGCUUACCACUUUGUGAUUCAUGACUGGGUGAUCAGGGGGGGAGGCCCAAAAAAAAACACAAAAAAAGGGGGGGAGUA